UACGUAGGGUGGGAGCGGUAAUCGGGGUUACUGGGCGUAAAGCGUGCGCCGGCGGUUUGGUAAGACAGAUGUGAAAUUCCCGGGCUUAACCUGGGAACUGCAUUUGUGACUGCCCGGCUAGAGUGCGGCAGAGGGGAGUGGAAUUCCGCGCGUAGCAGUGAAAUGCGUAGAUAUGCGGAGGCGCCCCGAUGGCGAAGGCACCUCCCUGGGCCUGCACUGACGCUCAUGCACGAAAGCGUGGGGAUCAAACAGG
rnacentral:rRNA from 1 species